CAGUCGUGCAGUCAUCAACUCAGCGGGUAGCGUUAGUAAUUUAUUGCUUUCGUUUUCCGUGUACUUUGUUGUCUGCUGGUUAGCAUCAAUUUUGAUUGUCAUAAAAAGGUUAGGGGAUGUGGCUCCUUCGGAAGUGUUAUAGCCUCUUGUUGUACACGGUGCCUGGGAUUGAGGACUGCAGCACGCCUUUGGGUAGGGUUCCCCCCAUCCACGUGCUUAGGAUGCUGGCGUAAUGGCUUUAAACGACCCGUCUU
rnacentral:rRNA from 1 species